GGCUUGUUCUCGGCUGUGCUGAAAGGAUUUUUCCUAAAACUUCACUUGACAUUGAUGAUGAUGGAGAUAAUCUGCAAGGAGGAAGAGGAGAGAGUUUCUGAGCCAGAGCAGGUCAUUCCGGGGCUGUCCACUUAAAUAAAGCCCUGGCUUAGAAAACCCCAAACACGCUAAAGUGGAUACUGUAAUGGGAUUUAUGCAAUACUCUGUUAAGGGCAAACCCAGCCCCAUAAAUACAUGUCUGAAAUUCAAUCUGCCAAAUGAAACGUUAAAGGCGCCAAAUGGAUUUCUCGAAAGGAUCAGAGCUACGAUGUAGUUUGCCUGCACUUGAUAAGCUUAUCCAGCCUUGCCGCCAGGAAAGAAAAAGAGCGAGAGAGAGAGAGACAGAGCGCGCGGGGGUGGGAGGAGGAAAUGGAGUUAAGGAUUUUACUGUAUUCUCCAGUAUCUUAGAUAUUUUCUUUUUCAAUGAAAAAGGGAGAAAGAGAUGAUCAGACUUCUGGCUGUGAAACCAGUGUUCCUGAUCCUGACUACAUCCUGGGCUGCAGAGGGACUGCUAUUAAAUCUCUAGCUGGAGCCCCAGCUCCAUCCCUCCAGCCCCAAAGCCUCCUCGACAGGGCUCCUUCCAUACCUGGUCAGCUCCGAUACCUGGGCCCCGCACCCAGGUGACCCACAUCAUGUCACGGCUGGACAGGCACGUGGGCCAGCUCGAGUCCCCAUCCCCAUCCCCAAGUUCCGCCUUUGACUUCAGCAGCUGCCACCAAGUGUAUUUGUGAGUGACGAAGUGAGUUAGGUGGAGAAAAGUAGUUAAGACUGUGAAUCAUUCUAGACACUUCCUUCUGGCCCCUCCCCCUUCUCAUGUUUUAUGAUUGUCCCUCCUCCACUAGGGAUAUACCAUCUCCUGCAAGGGGUUUGGAUUGUCCUAUUUUUUCCAAAGGAGGGGAUAGCGUAAUAGCUCAGGAUCUCAAAAGAUGUUUCUGGUACUGUCGGAGGCACGCCAAAGCUAUGUGGCCCAUGAGAGCUUUUCACGUUCUUCUAAGCCCAGGAGAGUUGCUUCUGGCAUCGGCAUGUGACCCCAGAGAGUCACUUUCAGGGUGACAGCGUGCUUCAAAGAACAUGCCAUCUUGGUGGGUACGUGAGUCAGUGAGUGUUGUGAGGGGGUGAAUUUGCUCUCAGCAUGGCAAGUUUCCUCUUCCUCUUCGAUUUCCCGCGGAUGGACUCGCCUUCGCCACAUGCCCUCACUCUCCAUUCCGCUUGGGCCAAGGCCUUGGCGAGCCCGGUGGCCUGGGGUUGGGGUGGAGCUCGCGGCUGUGGGUCGUGGAGGCAUCUUCCGAGGCAUCGCCCUGCUGGGCCCGGAUGAUGCUCUGACCACAGAUGAAUUCGGUCCUUGGUGGACAAUCGAGGACCUGCUCCUGCCGGUUUACUCCCCUCCCUUGGCGAGUCACUUGAGAGUGAGGAGUUCCCGUCGUGGCGCAGUGGUUAACGAAUCUGACUAGGAACCAUGAGGUUGCGGGUUCGGUCCCUGCCCUUGCUCAGUGGGUUAAGGAUCCGGCGUUGCUGUGAGCUGUGGUGUAGGUUGCAGACGCGGCUCGGAUCCCGCGUUGCUGUGGCUCUGGGGUAGGCCCGUGGCUACAGCUCCGAUUCAACCUCUACCCUGGGAACCUCCAUAUGCCGCGGGAGC
ensembl:lncRNA